AGUUUUCAGAGUUUAUUUAACAUGGUAUUUUUUUAAAUGACCAAUACAUAAUGCUACAUCGCAUUUAAAAACUGUUUCUUUUCGAACUAACAUAGGUAAGCAUACAACGCAUCGCUUUGAUAUUUUGUUCCCCCUUGUUAGUGUUGGAGGUAUCCGUACAGGAAAAUGCCGGCCAGUAUAUCGCGUUAACGAAUCAUUGAUAGAUGAUGCCGGUCUUACUCUUACAUUUACUAAAUAUUUUUCGAAACCUAACCAGACUACUAAUACAUUGUAAAUGUUAAACAAACAAACAUUGCUAAAACCUUUAGCCAUAAUGUUUCUUUAAUAGCCUCAAAUAAGGACAUAUAUUGAACCUUAGUUGAUGAUGCUGUCACGGACAGUUGCUUUUUCGAAUUCCAAAUAAUUGUACAUUUUUCGAACAAUUUAAAUAUAUACCCUGUUGUAUUUCUUCUAUCACAGGUAUUACCUUCCCAAUUGUAUUCACCUCUUGUUUAAUAUCUAUCUGAAAUGAUGUAGGUUUCAGUAGAAAAGGAAGGAGAGCGUUUCAUCCGGGACCCGCUAGAGGACACAUCAUUAAGGCUAUUCUAGCGGGCUCUUGCCUUAGACGUUGGAAUGUCGGAAGGACGGUAUACAUAUACAAACUGAGGUGGAUCGGUUACUUACGAGAAAGGAGAAUCCAUCUACUGACGGGUCUGGAGCUUCGGACUUGUAUUACGUUCACAUUUUUAUUCAUGCAGAAAAUGCAAACGAAAAUAGCGUUGAUUCAUACCAAGGUGAACCCAGUCUAGAAGGAAGGUGACACCCCAAAUAAAAAAGAAUGGAGAUCAGAUCGCAGAGAACAGGUUCUGAACUUUAGAAUGGUACGUGAUGUAUGUACAAAAACAGACAUUUCAUAUGCGACAUCCUUAUGUAUCACAGAAAUAAUGUUUGCUCGGAGGUUUUGCAAGAAAAUCACGACCAUUUAAAAAGUAUAAACCAGUGUUUUUAAA